rnacentral:lncRNA from 1 species
UGUUGGUGGAAAAAUGGACCACCCCACAAAUGUAAUUAUAGCACCCAAAUCCAUCAGCAAGCUCGAGCUCAUCCUAAGUGAUGGAGCUCUUCCGCUCUCGAGCUCAUCCUAAGUGAUCGGGCUCUUCCGCUCUCGAGCUCAUCCUAAGUGAUCGGGCUCUUCCGCUCUCGAGCUCGUAGACCAGAGAGCCGAGACCAGAGAGCCGAGACCAGAAGGCCGAGACCAGAGAGCCGAGACCAGA